UUCCUACACUCAUAUCUCUCCAAUCUCUCAUUCUCUCUCAUUCCUUGCAUAUCACCACUCUUCACUCAUUCUCUCAUUUAAUUUCCAACAGCUAAUUAAGUGCUAGGAGCGGCGCAUCCAAGGCUCGAGGAGGACAACCGAAGCAAGCUUGAAGAGGUUUGAAUGCAAUCACUUAAGGUUAAGGAGUUGACGGCAAGACAACAGACAUGGAACUCCACAUUCUCCCGUUCUAUUAUAUGAUGAAGUAUUAUAUGUUACUGUUUUUGGUAAAUAUAUCUUGCUACUAACCAACUUAGCCUCUUCCAAUUUUGGUGGGUCGAGACUUUAUAUAUAUUGGUUUAUGAUCAUGCAUUUUGACGACGGCUGUGACCGAAUAUAUAUAUUUUGUUUACCGUAUGUGUAGUUACGAGCUGUGCCUCGAACAUGUUAAUUAUAGUAUUAAACUUGAUGGUUAUAUUUUGUAUGUACUCCACCUUUUUAUAUAUAUAAAUAUGAUGCUUAAAUAAAGUUA